rnacentral:rRNA from 1 species
UACGUAGGGCGCAAGCGUUGUCCGGAAUUAUUGGGCGUAAAGAGCUCGUAGGCGGCUUGUCACGUCGGGUGUGAAAGCCCGGGGCUUAACCCUGGGUCUGCAUUCGAUACGGGCUAGCUAGAGUGUGGUAGGGGAGAUCGGAAUUCCUGGUGUAGCGGUGAAAUGCGCAGAUAUCAGGAGGAACACCCGUGGCGAAGGCGGCCUGCUGGGCCGAUCCUGACGCUGAGGCGCGAAGGCGUGGGGAGCGAACGGG